rnacentral:tRNA from 1 species
GCUCCUAUGGCAUAGAGGUAUUGCGUCGCACUCGUAUUUAAUCUUCAAACGUACGAAAUGCGAAGAUCCUCGGUUCGAUUCCGAGUGGGAGCA